CCUACGGGAGGCAGCAGUGGGGAAUCUUCCGCAAUGGGCGAAAGCCUGACGGAGCAAUGCCGCGUGAGUGAAGAAGGCCUUCGGGUUGUAAAACUCUGUCCUAGACGAAGAGAGAGUAUUGUAGUAACUGACAAUACUAGGACGGUAGACUAGGAGGAAGCCCCGGCUAACUAUGUGCCAGCAGCCGCGGUAAAACAUAGGGGGCAAGCGUUGUCCGGAAUCACUGGGCGUAAAGGGCGCGCAGGCGGUAAAUUAAGUCAGGUGUGAAAGUUCGGGGCUCAACCCCGUGAUUGCACCUGAUACUGAUAAACUAGAGUGUUGGAGAGGUAAGUGGAAUUCCUAGUGUAGCGGUGGAAUGCGUAGAUAUUAGGAGGAACACCAGUGGCGAAGGCGACUUACUGGCCAAUAACU
rnacentral:rRNA from 1 species